rnacentral:rRNA from 1 species
AGCCCCUUGAAAUAAAUAAGGGGUAACGCCUGCCCAGUGGACAAUCUCAACGGCCGCGGUACCCUGACCGUGCAAAGGUAGCAUAAUCACUUGUCCCUUAAAUAGGGACCUGUAUGAAUGGCAUCACAUUUUCUAACUGUCUCCUUUCUUUUCCUUCUAAACCUCUACUAAUGUGAAGAAGCAUUAAUAACAAAGAAAGACGAGAAGACCCUGUCGAGCUUCAACUUCCCAAAGAACAAAAAAAUUUUCAAAAUUAAUUUCCUCUUAAAAGAAGUUUUGGUUGGGGCAACCAUGGAGUAAAAAAAACCUCCAGAAAAACAAACCAGACCUUUAAUCAAACUAACAAAUAAAACAAAGAACCAAAAAACCUUUGGUAAACAGAAAAAGUUACCGCAGGGAUAACAGCGUCAUCUCCUUUAAGAGUUCAUAUUGACAAGGAGGAUUGCGACCUCGAUGUUGGAUUAGGGACACCAAAGGGUGCAGCAGCUCUUAAAUGGUUGGACUGUUCGUCCAUCAAACCCCUACA